GCCAUUACAGCCGCCGAGCCCUCGGCCGGCCCGCCCACCUGCCGCCGUGGGGAAGCGGGGGGGGAGCGGAGCGGAGCGGCGCGGCGCGGCGCACGCCGGGAAAUGGCUGCCCUCGCCCGCCGGCCUCCUCCUGCCGGGCGGGCACGGCGCGCAUGCGCGGGAGGGGAGGGACUCAGUUGUGCUAGUUCAGAAGCCCGGGGCACUGUGGAAAAGCCACGCGCACCACCGCAGCAGCACUGACCAGCCUCCGUGACUCUUCUGUUGGAGUGAAUCAACAAAGGUGAGCUCCUGUUCUGGGUGUGAAGAGACUUCACCGUGCCUGGCGGAGCUUGGUCUUUUGCAGGGGAACUGUGAGACCUUAGGAGAGAAUAUUUGCACCAGGCAAGGAGCAACUCUUCAGAACUGGAAUAAAGAAAUAGAUUUUGUAGUUGCUGUGUUUCCAGUGCCUGAACUUCAAGAGUAUUUGGGUUAGUAAAUCUGUG